rnacentral:piRNA from 1 species
GGACAUUGCUGACUGGAACCAG